AAUAAUUUUUUGCGGCCAAACCCAUUCGAAAGAAAUGUUAGACUUUUGAGGGUUAUCCUUCCACUGGUCCAACGAACUCGUAAAAAAAUUGGCUAGCUUAUGUUCUUUCACAUUAAUAUGAAUCUUGAAUCGACUGGAAUAUACCUCUAACAAAAAAUUUAUUAUGAUUGUGCAAUUGAUUAAUAUACAUAUAACGAAUAAUUUGUUACUCUUACAAUUUUUAUCCUAGCUGAUUGUGAGAGAAAAAAUUUCCGAAGAAGAUUGGGAAUAAAAACGGUAUGCACGAAAAUUUUUCAAUCGAAUAGCGUUAUUUUAUUUAUAUUAAUCAAAAUUUUUCAUAUGCAUACGUGUUAAAUCUAUGUGUUUUGAUGACACGGGCCUAAUGUAUCCAGAUCGUCGGAUAAUUUUGCGGCGUCGCACGAAUAACGAACCAUAUCAUCGGAUAUUGGUGCCGACAAUUGAUGGUGGAUAAUUGAUUGUAUUUUCAUACAAUAUUCUCGGGAGUUAAUCUCUCUAACAUGUUCGAUGAUGAACGUGGGAUUUUUCAAAUUUUCCAUCAACUAUAUCUAUCUGUAGAAAUAAACAUCGCAAGGCUGCAUCGGCGAAGUACAUUUCGGAGUAAUUAGUUCAAUACUGCACGUUGGCAGACCCUCUCCAUCUUGAAGUCUCGAGGUACAAACCCGGAUUCAUUUGCCCUCCCUAUGAAUCGAUGAGCAAAAGAAAUUGUUCCUCUGUUACGUAGGCUCCAAGAGGACGGUCAGAAACUCCUUGUACGUAUGUACGUACAAUGCUCUCGUGGGUGUUCCGGGUUCCGGAGAGACGUCGUCUCAACGUUUUUGUAUUUGCGUGCAUACCAACUCAUCAACUGAUUUCUUCUCCUUCGGUCCGAAUGAGCAGGGUGGACUCUUGUAAGCAAACGAGGACGGUUGCUUGUAAUUUUUCUGAUAAGAGACGUAUCCCCAUAUUGCGCAGUGUACGAACGUGUCGCCUUAUUCAUAUAUUUUCUCCUGAUACGAACCAACCGUGUGCGUUUGUCGGCGAGAGUUCGGUCAUAAGUUCCCUGGUUAUGAAUUUUUCAAAAUUUCACACGCUUUUUUUCAAAUGCUCGAAUGAGUGUUUCUCGUUAGAGCUAGAAAUCAAUCUCAUCGUUGAGAUCCAUCUAUGUUUGAGUUAACGCGAUGAAAUUUCUGAGUGCCGGUAUAGUUUUGGCCUUUGAAUAUUGAAUAUUGAGAGCGUCGGCUGCUUUUUCAUAAUCUUCAAUUGUUGAGAACUUGACUUGGAUAAAGUUCCGAAAAUCCCCUACCUCCGAUUAAGCUGAAAUUUUGUGGAGAUCUUCAUUUCAGUGUCGAAAAAAAAACCCCUCAAGGGAUUUUUGGCGCGUCAAAGUAGUUUUCGAGAUAUCGAUUUUUUAAAUUCUGAGAUAAAAAAAAAAUUUCUUUAGAUAUCUAAAAAAAAUAGUGGGUCUUUGGAAAAAUUGCAAGACUAACUUUUUGUAUGUAAACUUAUUGUUAGAGUAAACUUUGAAUGUAUAUAUGUAUGAAGGUGUUUAGAAAAAAAAAAAAAAGUAUUAAUUUUUUUUGCAAUUUUAUUGGAAAAUAUUUGAAAUUUUUGAUUGACGUUAUUUUUGAUCGCAGAUAUCUUUGAAAAGGUUGAUAAGAGGAACUUUGACCUUCGGACGUUUUUUGUAGAGCGUAAAAUUUCUUAUAAAUCCUCUCACUGGGAUAUUGCGUAAACAAGCUAUUCCGAAGUGAUUCAAAUUCAAAAAUGAGAAAGAAAUUUUCCCGUGUUAUUUAAAUGGAAAAAUUACAAAUGGAUUGAGGCAAACCUUAAUAUUAAUACAUUGAGGGCUCUAAUAGGCGCCAAAAUUUUUGUUUUUAAAUGUACUUUCAACUUUUCGAUACCAUCAAGAGAACCAAAAAAAAUUUUUUUUUUAAACACCCUAAUAUGUAUAUGUAGGGUGUGAACCGUAUAAAUAAACAUAGUAACAACCAAGGGCAAAACCGGGCUAUAACUUAAUAUACCUAAUGGUCUUUGCUAUCCGAUCACCACCUUGCAAUUGUAAAUUGCAAUUUUUGUUUGAGUUUGUUUGGGUUUCGGUGCUUUUUUUAUCACUUCCGAUAGGAAAUCUUAUUACAAAUAAGAAGUUACUCUUGUGAUUCCUCCAAAAAAACACUGUUUCUUGAGAUAUCAACAAAAGAAAAUGUUUUUUUCACAAUUGCAAAAAUCAAUAUCUCGAAAACUACUUUGAUGCGUCAAAAAUCCCUUGAGGUUUUUUUUUUUUGUGACGCUAAAAUAAAGAUAUUAACGAAAUUUCAGCUCGUCGGAGGUGGGGGCUUUUCGGAAAUUCACCCCUUGACUUCGACGUUUGGCAAAUUAGUUGGUUUAGUUGGUUGGUAGCAGCCCAAUCAUAUAUGAAUCACUCAUGUAAAAUAUUUGAAGGACAACAAUAAUAAAACCGAAAUGUUUGAGAAUAAAAAAUAUUUUAUCCGAUCACAGAUUCAUGAUUUCGACGAUUUCCGAUUAUUUCCAUUUGUGACUUUCAAUUGAUACUUUAUUCCAUAAGACUGCUACGUCGGUACGAUGUUCACCGGCGUUAUUAUUUAGGUUCGUUUCUCGCUUGACGCAACUCAUUGUCAAUGCAUAACUGCAUGUAUGUACGUACGUACGUGUACGUAUGUACAUACUACCUACUACUAAAGAAGCGUGUGUAUGUACCUAUGUACAUACGUACGUAUAUCUACAGAGUCCGACAAUGGCGGUGCUUAAUCGUGAAACGAGCCCAUCAUCGGUGAUCAGAGAUUAUCAUAUCUCAGCUGUCCGACGACCGAUUCCAUUGAAAUUAGGCUUGAAUAAAAGCUUGUCGCCGAUUUAUAUAGGAAAAGUGAUUCCACGUCUGCUGUAAUGAAUAUAUAUAAAUAUGAGAGAUAUUUGAUGAGACGCGGAUCCAACUCCGCUUUCGAGCUCCCGUCGCAGCAUAGAUACUCGGCAGUGAAUCUACCCGGCAGUUCGUUGCUCUCUUCGUCACACCGCAAGUCCGGAGCCCUGGCACCGUGUAGAAGAUACGGAUUUUCCAAGAAUUCAUUCUCAACAUCGAUUAUCUCUCCAUUGAAGUAAUGAUGUUAGGGGGUCGGAAUUUGGGAUGAAAUUUGCGCAAAUUCGUCGUACGCAAGGUCGUCGGUUCGAAAUUUUUUUACACACGAAGGAAUCGGGAGACCGAUAGUUAACAGGGCAUGUCCCAUAUUCGGAUAAAGACGCUACACAUACCGAUGUAGAACUACAGGGCGCCUGCAGGGUGAAACAGUCGUCAGAAAAUACACUAGGCAAGAGAGGUGUCGGUACACAUGUACGAACGCUUCGCGUCGCUACGCCCCCCCGCCCCCUCCGCACCCCUUCACGUACACGUCGCAGCAUUCGAAAGAAGAGAAAUGCAAGAGAAAGGGCGGCGAAGGAGAGUAAAACGAAGUGCUGGGCGCGGGUGAAGGGAAAAAGUAAAGGGUUCGUCGGUCCUGAGUGAGAGCGAGAGAGGGGGAGAGGGAGGUUGGGAAGGAGGGAGAGUCCCCCGGGCGUUACGAGGGUGUUCGAGGUUGUGCCUGGCGAGCGUUGACGAGAGUCGUGCAGCUAGGGCGUCUCGUGGCAAAUAGCAAUAGCCUAGCCGCCUGCCGGGAAAGAGCCAAGGGACCGUACGGGAGAGGCUCUCUGUACAGCGACCGGGGAAAUGAGGAGAGGAGUAGAGAGGAGAGGAGAGGAGAGGAGAGGAGAGGAGAGGAGAUAGGGAGAACGGUAUCGACCGCCCCCCACAGAACCGCCGUCGAACGGCUUCCCCGCGAACCUCUGUAUACAUACACGCGGAAAAAACACUAUAUACUAUACAUUUCUCCCUGCACGUGCACGGCCCUUCUGCACUCCCGCGUGUCCCGAGUUCCGAGUCCUAGAGUCCUGGAGUCCCGCGGCAGGAUGGGGUCGUGAGGUGACCCGCCUGCAGCGGGACUCCCGUUCGCGAGUGCGAGAGAGUGCGGCCUUUAUAGACACACGCGCUCCCUCCGGAACAUUUCCAUACACAGUCCGUACAAAGUGCGAGUUUUUCACCAUGUCCAAUGAUAAUCAUGCUCGAAACUUCGAACUUUUCUUCCCAAGGAAAUGGGCGACAAUCGACCCUGAUAUCAGCGGCUGAUUUUCAAUUUUCAGCAGAAAAUUAUUGGAAAUGGGAGAGGAGGUAAAAAAAAAAAAAAAGGGAGCAACGAAUCGCAUAAGCCGAAAAAUGAAAAAUACAAAGAGAAGAAUUGAUGAGAAGAUAAUCCAAUUCUCAUUUACGAUAGAUUCACGAAUUUCGUAUUACAGUCGACUGUACCGAGGUUCAGAGAAAUAUGUAGAGGAGAAAUAACUCGUGCAGUUUAGAACCCUGACCGCGGCGAAUUGCUUCUCGUUACCGCACAGCUGUAGUUCUCUCGCCAAAACUCGUCAGUGCAGUAGAACGGUGUCGGGGCAAAUUGCCUGAUUUUCAGCAGUAAUGGAGCAACCGGCAAUAGCUUACGUCACAGAGAAUACCCGAGAGGACCGGGGAUAUGUGUAUCGUUAUGGAUGUGAACGUUAAAAUCUCUCGCCGAGAAUUGCAGAUUUACGUCUCAUUCGCUGAAAGCAACGGAGUAUAAUUUUCACCGGGGAACAUUGCGCCGGCGUAUUCAAUACGUGUAUUUAUACUGUGCACGUAUGUACGACAUACAGACAGCUCAUAGACAGUCUAUACAUAUGUAUAGGGAAAUGCAGCUCUAACGAAGUGAGAAAUAUAAGCCAGACGACAGCUGGUGUUCCAAUUUCUUGCGAUUCCAAUAAAUAUGGCCAGUAGCGAAUCUUGGAUUUGGGGGCUGAGGACCGGAGAAGGACGUAACCUACGGAAACCUAUGGAUGAUGUCACAAGGGCCUAAUCCACGAUAAUUUUUCGCCAUAUAAUUCCUCUCAUUUACGAAUCGGGUGGAGACCUGGAUUCAAUCGACAGGAUGCCGUGUUGCAGUGCAAGAACUCUACAAAGCCACAUCGUCUACUGCGCAAUCACCAAAUCUGAACUGUGAACAGUGUCAUCGUUGAAACGAAAUACACCAAUGGUCACUGGAAUCACAGCUAGUCUCACUCUCAAUGCCUAACUCGUACCAGAAUACUAAUCAUUGAUUUUCAUUUUUGAUGCACUUUUUCCGCAACAUUGCUGAAACGAGUGACUUUUGUGGGAACAACUGCACUCAACUGUUUCGCCUGCUGAUUGAAUGGUCAUUAUUAUGAACCACUUGACCCGAUAUUAGUUUGGUCCCCACUGGACGAAGUAACGAAUUUUCUCAGCAAGCUUGCGUUUCACUUGCUUGUACCAUAGAUAUAUUGUAUAUAUCCAUGCUUGUACCAUUUCUUUGACCGAAUUCCACGUCGCACAAUCCAAUUCUACGGGGCUUCUGUAGUAUUUUCCAAUCUACGCACUGCGUUGAAUGAAACGAUUUAUUUCCUCGGAAGGAACACGGACUGUAUGUAACGAAAGGGCAUCCAAAUUUCCCGAAAUGCUGAUGAUUCGGGAGAUAUUUAUACAAACAGUUGGUCCUAAAGCCCUUUUCCUAUCUUUGAACGGUAUAGAUAUCCCGUGAAGUCGCGUUCUCUUCGACGUACUCGGCGCAAAACUCUACCUAGUUUUUCGAUGAAUUGGAACAUAUUGGAAUAUAUCAAUGUAAGCAAAGAAGACGGCCCAUCUCGAGUAGAUGUAUGUAUUAUCUACAAGUAGACGUGACCAUCGUUGCGGGUGUCGGGAACGGAGAACUACACCGGCACAAGUGGAGAUUUGGAUAUUCGGAAGAUAAUCAAGCACUACAAAGUGGACUCAAGUUUAUACAGGAAUACUAGAUAUGAUCGAUAAGAUGAACAACAUGGAGGUAUUGCGUCUUUUGUCAGGAGACAUAGUUUUAUGAUCAUAUCAACUCUGAAACAAGAUUGGAUGGUAUUGAAUUGUAUGCUAUUUUCUUUCGAACCGAUUCCUGAGAAUUUCUUAUCGCCGCUUGUUGCAAAACCCCAACGGAGAAUUAUAAAUUAACAGAUAUCUAAAUAUCUUUCAUAAACAAUAUCGUGAAUAAAUUUUAUUCACUUUUACUGGUGCAUGGGAGAUUUGGUAAUUUUUACAAAUCCGGGCUCCAGUGAAAAUUUGCUAUGCAAAUUUUUUUCGUUCAAUCUUAUUUGAAAUGACUCAAUUACAUUAAUCCAUCAUGGGGGAAGGUCUUCAGGAUCUGCGAAAACCCAUCGAACCCCCUUGAAACCCUAAAAAAUCAUCGCGAAAUGUAUGUCGUCAAUAUAUCUAUGGUCGUAUAUUAUACCGUAGAUAUAUAUGUAUGUAUUAAAUAUCUAUGAUUAAACAUCAUGCAUUACAAAUCACACAUUCGACAUGAUUAACAUAAAUAUCAAUUUAGGUGUGGGUUUGGGUUCGGGUUCGGGGCUUCCUCGAAAAUGCCCCAACGUGAAUAAAAACAUUUUUAAAACAAAUUUUCACUGGAUCUCGGAUUCGGUAUGAGUACUAGAGAUUUUAAAGGAGUAGUACCGGUUAUAAUUUCCAAAAAAUCAAUUUUUUCACAUUCUUCGAAUCGUUUUACUUUCAGAAAUCACCUCUCGAAAUUCCAUAGUUAAAGUCGAGAAAAUAAGAAAGUUAUAGUAGUUGAGCGCGUAUGCGUCUUCGGUAUACCGGUAAAAAUAUUAUAAAAGUAAAUUGUAAAAAAACUUUAAACUUGUUUUGUAUGGAAAUAGUAUUUCUUCAAACUGCGCUGAGUUAUUCUUUGCAUCCGGUCGACAAUUUUCUUAAAUACUUAGUGCGGCUUGUUUGUUUUGAUGUAUUUUACCGUAAUUCACCAGCAAAUUGAAAAAAGUAUUCGUCAUGGGGAAAAAGGUAAAAAAAACGUAAAUUAGACUUCUUUUUUUUUACACAGCCAUCAUUUUAUUUUUUCCUUGGCAUUCAGAUGUACUUUAGAUGCUUUCGUUGAUUAUAAACACCUAUCAGCAAAAACCACACGUAAGUCAAAAUUGGUAAAAAAAACCAAACAGGCUUUUUACCGUUUCUGUGAAACUAAAACAUUUGAAAAUUUGGUUGAAUAGACCCGACAUUGCAUCGGUAAAUAAAAAAUUUUAAAAAUUCCUCACGAAUGCCACGAAAUUAUUCAAGGAACUAUGCACGCCUGACAAUCCCAACUUUGAUUCUUUCAAAUGUGAGAAAUUCAUGUGGUAUCAAAAUAAAUAUCAUAUAUGAUAAUGAGUUUAUUUGUUACUUCUGAACACUAGAUAACCUAUUCGGGUCUAUGUAUUCACCGUUGAACUUUUGAAAAUACAGUCUCCUUUAAUCACGACUUCGUUUCGCGUUGUGCUCUUAUGUUAUUUGUGGCUUGAUUUAUUGUAGUGAAUCCACGCCACUUUACUAUGACGUGCGGUCGCCCAGCUUACAAUUAGUAGGGUUUGUUAAGAUUCCGUAAGUGACAUAAUUACGAGUCUGGCGUUCAACAUAAACCCCCGAUUUACGAUCCUACCGUUUUGUUUGGGCACGUAUGCAUGAGAUUUCCUGGGUUUACCACGCCUGGAAAAGAAGCCUUCAAUGAAAAUAAAAAUAAAACUUAAAAUUAAUAUUUAAUAUCUAAGUCCGAAUCGGAGUAAGAGAGAAAAAAAGACUAAUCAAUCGAAUAAUCAAAAAAUUAAAAAAGUAAAAUGACCACAACCUAAUAAAUGUACAAGCUUGUGAAGGACACUCAUCAACAAAACCACCGAUUAUCUGACAAUGGCGUAUAACGCACUUAUACUUAAACAAAUGUUGAAAUUUCAAAAUAUGUAAAUGUAUUUUUGUAGAUGUUGGGUAUCGUCCUCAUGUUAAGUAUCUUACAUAACAUGAGUGUGAGAGGUGUGCAUUUUUUGAUUUUUUCUUCAAUUUGUUGUUGAAUUUUUACCACACUAAUUUAUCGCAACUCGAAUUUUGCAACGGUUUGAAGAUGCCUUUGGUUCCUCGAAGAAGCGUGUUUUUUCUAAAUCCUGAAUAAAAUACUAGAUAAAAUGAUGUGGAGAAUUUCAUUCUGAAGACAAUCAUGUGCAAAAAAGCUAAGAAUCAUCGUGUCUCGACUUUGUUAUUUUGAUUUGAAUGACAGAAAAGUAUAUAAUGUACGCCAUCCGGAAUGGCCCCUUCCUCGAGCUCUGAAUUACAGCUUGCUGUUCCGAUCAAAAUAAACAAUAAAAAAAAGAAAGCCAUUCAUCGGAAUGUAGGUUACAUACGUUCCACACGGAUAUCGCUGUGCCGAACUAUUUCGAUUUCUCUGUUUGCCUAGAGAUGAAACGAUCUUAAGUAUGGC